rnacentral:rRNA from 1 species
UACAGAGGUGGCAAGCGUUGUUCGGAAUACUGGGCGUAAAGCGUGCGCAGGCGGUUUGCUAAGACAGGUGUGAAAUCCCCGGGCUUAACCUGGGAACUGCGCUUGUUACUGGCAGGCUUGAGUGUGGCAGAGGGGGGUGGAAUUCCACGUGUAGCAGUGAAAUGCGUAGAGAUGUGGAGGAACACCGAUGGCGAAGGCAGCCCCCUGGGCUAACACUGACGCUCAUGCACGAAGCGUGGGGAGCAAACAGG